rnacentral:rRNA from 1 species
CACGUAGGGCGCAAGCGUUGUCCGGAAUUAUUGGGCGUAAAGAGCUCGUAGGCGGUCUGUUGCGUCCGCUGUGAAAACCCGGGGCUUAACCCUGGGCUGGCAGUGGAUACGGACAGACUAGAGGUAGGUAGGGGAGAAUGGAAUUCCCGGUGUAGCGGUGAAAUGCGCAGAUAUCCGGAGGAACACCAGUGGCGAAAGCGGCCACCUGGACUGUACCUGACGCUCCAACGCGAAAGCUAGGGGAGCGAACGGG